rnacentral:rRNA from 1 species
UACGUAGGGUGCAAGCGUUGUCCGGAAUUAUUGGGCGUAAAGAGCUCGUAGGCGGUUUGUCGCGUCUGCUGUGAAAACGCGAGGCUCAACCUCGCGCCUGCAGUGGGUACGGGCAGACUGGAGUGCGGUAGGGGGAGAUUGGAAUUCCUGGUGUAGCGGUGGAAUGCGCAGAUAUCAGGAGGAACACCGAUGGCGAAGGCAGAUCUCUGGGCCGUAACUGACGCUGAGGAGCGAAAGCGUGGGGGAGCGAACAGG